rnacentral:rRNA from 1 species
GAGUUUGAUCCUGGCUCAGGAUGAACGCUGGCGGCGUGCCUAAUACAUGCAAGUCGAGCGGACAGACAGGAGUGCUUGCACUCCUUGAAGUCAGCGGCGGACGGGUGAGUAACACGUGGGUAACCUACCUAUAAGACUGGGAUAACUUCGGGAAACCGGAGCUAAUACCGGAUAAUAUGUUUCACCUCAUGGUGAAACAGUGAAAGACGGUUCUGCUGUCACUUAUAGAUGGACCCGCGGCGCAUUAGCUAGUUGGUGAGGUAACGGCUCACCAAGGCGACGAUGCGUAGCCGACCUGAGAGGGUGAUCGGCCACACUGGGACUGAGACACGGCCCAGACUCCUACGGGGGGCAGCAGA